AUUCUGCAUGUAGAUCCCGCCUUGAUUGACAGGUGACAGCGGGAGAGUUUUUUUUUUUGUACUGCGCAGACGCACACACAGCCAAAGCAAGGAGAGAAAAGGAGACAGAAAAAAAAAAUAGAAAAAGCGUAAAUUAUAAUUAUAUAUUAUAAUUAACUGUUUGAAAGAGUGAAACCAAAAGUCAAAACAAUACUACUGACAAUUGGAGUGCUGAGGAACUUCGGUUUGUAGUUUUAUCCGACGUGAAACUUGAUCAGCUGAAAAUGGACACAAAAUACGUAGGGACAGACGUCCUGACUGAUGAAUUGGGAGAAUGGACACCAACUCACUGGGAGCUCACCAUCUCCAGUCGAGCAGAUUACAUCACCACGGACCAGAAGUGAGUAACCGCUAAGAAUGAGUGGACAUAUUGGCCCGUCAUCAAAGAGGCGAUCCAGAUCUGGGCCACCUAUACGUGGUGUCUUCUAACAAGAGGUAUUGUAUGGUUUUCAGGUGAGAGACCUAGAAUGUUUUUCCUCAAACACUUCCAUGUGGAAUCUCAUAGAUGUCAUCACGAUCAGGGCAGGAGAAGAUAGACUAUGGACUAAUGUGCCUAUUAAAAAACAGAAGAUCUUAAACACCUUGUCAAAUAUAAGAAGAGGAAGCAGAUAAGGAGUUAGGGUAAUGUGCUAGUAACCUCUCCCCUGACCCCUACCGAGCCCUUCUACAUGGUGCAGAGUCACAAAGGGCAGAAGAAUUCAUUCACCAGAAAGUUUGCUGACAGCAUUAAGGAGAACCUAUAUGAGAUGGACUGAAAAUUAUGAUUAUAAAUUUACAUGUUAAUGGAUGCUAGUACAUAAGUAUGUUUGUGACGCAUGUUUGUAAUGUUGGUAUGUAAAGUACAGGUGAAGAACACACUGUCGAGCACAAAAGAUGGCAGGGUGGGAAUUUUUCCCUCAUCAACUGGUAAAGAAUGAGAGGGUUUUUUUUUCGCUCACCGCUGGAUAUAGUUAACUGUUAUUAAUGAUAUGUUUGCUUAACGGUAUGCUUGCUUAUCAUUAUAGGAAAAGUUAAAUAAGAAUGCAUGUUUUUCUCAGCAUGGCACCCAAAGGUUAGCAGAAUUAUGUGAAGAGUCUGACUUUAAAUUCAGAAAGGGGGGAAUUAUGUAGGAAAUUAUGUAGAAAUUUAGAGUAAUAAAAUAUAAAGAAUUGAAACCUCAUCUGACAUGUGAAAGCAGCUGAAAUUCAGAGAUAAGGGGAACAGGUUUGUGCAGUCUGUGUGUAUAUAUAUUGACAUAUGUAUGGGCAAAGGGCAGUGAGGCCCCAGGCACAGUCAGAGUAUGUAUGCUCAAGCAGCCCAAAGUACACACACACACACAUACACAGAAAUGGGUUUGAAUCGGAUUUGUGUAUUAGCAAAAGAAUACAGAAAGAAAGUAUUACUUUUUAACUACAACGAGUUUCACAUAAGAUCUUGUGGGAAACAUUUUUUCUGUUCACUGUCCAGGGGAUCUGGGUAGCCUGGGUAUACUUGGAUGCAGAGGGAUACUUGGGUGUCUCUGUACCACAAGACACUAUAAGACGUGUCUGACUGGAUGCAUCCAUGUAUCGCUUGUUUAGAGGAGACACGGUAAGGCGUGUCUGGGUCGAUGCAUCCAUUCUCCUCUUCUUGAAGGUAGACACUGUAAGGCAUAUUUGAGUAGAUGCAUGCACCAUUCUCCUUUUGAGAAGAGGUCCGUGUUUGAAUGGAGACCUCCAUCUUUUUCUUCAAAAAGGAGGCCCAGAAACAGUGACGUUCGCAGGAGGGAAAAGUAAAUUAAGAAAAAGAUAAUGGGAAUAGUGACUAGCUUCACCCAAACUCUUCCGGUUCUGUCUAACGAAUUUGCAAAUAUUUAAUAUCUUUGAACACUGGCUUAUAUUUUUGGCAGAAUACAAAAAAAAGUAGUCUUUUUUGGAAAAUUAUGUGAAUGUGGUUGACUUUCAAAGCUAGUGAAAGGACGUUAAUGCUUUUCUUUAACAGCAGUUAUUUGUGACUGUUCUUAAAUGUAGGUUCAGUAAUAUGAGCCUGACCAAUCAGGAGUAAAAGGUUGAUGUUUUCAGGAAGCUACGCCAUCAGAAUUUUAAUUAAUUUAUUAUGUAAUACUAGAUCUAAACACUAUAAUACUCAAAAUAUAUUUUUUUCUCAAAUACAGACAUAAAUCCAACCUUAAGCACAAUUAAAUAUAAAAGAUUAUACCUCACCCUAAAACUCAAGACCAGUAAAACUACAAACAUUUGUAAGGCCUCGUAUAAAUAGAUAGGGAUCUCCUACAUAUAGGUUAUCAAAACCCAACCAAAUCCUAAGUGUAUGUAUAAUUACUCUUCAAGGACAACUUGGUAAACGUCUCCAAACCUUUCCUUUUGAAACUCCAAACUCAUUUGAUUUAAGAAAUUUUGUUUAUGGAAAGUAGGUGUACAAGGACACAGCAGUGUGCAUAAGUCAUCAAGUCUGAAAGAAAACAAAUAGCAGCUCAGUGUAUCACAUACUGCAGGGAGUCUCUGAAGGACACUUGGAGUUGAAAUGUUUUAAUGUUUUUGACAUAAAUGACAUUUCUUUAUAUAAUUUAUUAUUAUAUAUAUAAAAUAUAAGAUACUCCUGGAAGCCAAAGAAGUCAUGGAAACAAUAACACAGAUCUCAAAAAAUAGAAAUCCAAAGCCAAAAGGCCAAGCCAGGAGUCACUCUCAAAUCAUGUCAUACUGUCAGUAGAGAAUGUUGUCUAAGAAAAAUUCUGAACUGUGUUUUCUGUCUGCUAAUUGAACUUAAUUGUGUUUUUAAGUGCCAAAAUAUUAAACUGCAAAUCUAAGCUAUAAGAAAGGACAUUUAUUUUGAAAAUCGUUUACAGGUUCAGUCUAUCUAGGGUAAAAUGUGUGCAGUGAUUUUGCACAAAUCUUGCAUUUUUAUGCUGUAACACAUUUAUCUUUCCCUUUUUUGUAAGGAGUAACAUUUCUUGAAUAUUCAAGUUUCGUCGAUUUUAAUCUCACAAACAAAAACUGGCAUUGACAGCUACAUUUACAUAUCUAAUAGUACACAAUGACAGAUCAGGCUUACUACAAACAGUAUCACAGGCCUAGUCAGUGCGAGAGGUGAAGAAAAAAACUCAGUUAAACUGGGACUAAUCUCUGGUGUGAGUUCGUUUUGUAUAUUUUUUUUAAAAAAGCACUCAUGGGCUUUCUUGGUUAUGGAGCUGGUGUUGAGGGACCAGGUGAAGUCCAAUGCCAGGUGAACAUCAAGGAAUAUGGUGCUCUUGACUCUCCCCAUUGAGGAUUUGUCGUUGUUCAGCGGAGAGUGGUCGCUCUGUGCUCUCUUGAAGUCAACAAACAUAUCUCUUGUUUGUCCAUGUUCAGAGACAGGUUGUUGGCUUUGUACCGGUCCGUUAGAUGCCUUGUCACCUGUCUUGGGCAGUCAUCCAUGGCUUCUGGUUGGAGUGUGUGGUGAUGGUCUUGGAGACAGUGACAUUAUCAAUGCACUUGCUGAUGUAGCUGGUCACUGAUACUAUGUAUUCCUUCAAGUUAGUGGAGUCACUAUCGGUUGCAGCCUCCCUGAUCAUGUGCCAGUCAAUGUGCUCAAAACCGUUCUGAAGAGCAGAGAUGGCUCCUGCUGGCCAGGCUUCUCCUGCUUCAAAUCGGGUUUGGAGUGUCUGACGAGCAGUCUGUAUGCUGGGAUUAGCAUAACAGAGAUGUGGUCUGAGUAGCCGAGGUGGGGGCACCGCUCCACCUGGUAUGUGACGGGGAUGUUUGUGUAAGCAAGAUCCAGCGUGUUUGCACCUUUCAUUGCAAAGUUCACAUGUUGGAAUUUAAGGAGCACUGAUUUGAGAUUUGGAUGGUUGAAAACUCCGGUCACAAUAAACAGUCCAUUCGGGUGUGCAUUCUGCAUUUCACUAAUACCCCCAUGUAGUGUCUCCUUAGCAUUAGUACUCGUGGAAUGUAUACUCCAAUUAUAAGGAUAGUGGUGAAUUCCUGUGGUAAAUAAAAUGGACCUCAUUUAACGGUAACAAACUCCACCAGCGAUGAGCUGGAGCUAGAAACUAGCACAGAGUUCUUGUACCAUUCCAUUUUUAUGUGAACACAAGCCACCACUGCAAGCCUUACUGCACAGAGCUGCAUUUCUUUUGGCAAUAAACAAGCCAAGCCCGUCUAGCUGAAUGGCGGCAUCCGGAACUCUGUCACUGAGUCAAGUCUCCGUGAAAACAAAGAAGUGGUAGUCUCUAAACUCAUGCCGAGUUGCCUGCUGGAGUCAGAUGUAGUCCAAAUUAUGGUUAAGGGAGCAGACUUUGGAGAGCAGGAUAGAUGGGAGAGCUAGGCUGCCAAGGUUUGUUUUUAGCCUAGCAUGGACCCCUGCCCUUUUGCCAUGCUUCCGCUUCAAUGCACAUCACUUACAACAUCCCCUUCCCCGGCCACCAGCAUCAGGCGAAGCUGAAGACUGGAGGCCUGUUCCCCGCAGCAAGCUGAGAUUGUGUAGCUUCUCCAGCAGAUCAUUAUAUGGGUUGAUUGUUGCAUGAUUUCUGUACCUUAGCAGUGUCUGGCGAUGGUAGACGUGAACACUGGUUACGCCAAUGUCCGUGAGCUGUAAAAUAUCGUAAAAUAUCGAGCUGUAAAAAAUAUGUAAAAUAGCACCAUUUUGGAUCUGGAAAGGCCACUGCAUGCUAUUGUCAUGCCACCAUUUUGAAUAUUCUAAAAUAAUAAUGCAGCCUUGGUUUCUGUAACCCUGCCCCAGUUCUUAGAAAAGUGGUUGAUAUGGCAUGCAGUUGUCCUGCAGAGCCAUGUUUUCAGAAGGGUCACAUCAAGGGGAACUGACUCUACUUUAUUGAAGGCUUCAGUAUUGGUGAUUUUGUCCUGUCAACAGAUUCCCAUGAAAGAGCACAAAGUUUGCAAAUGAAAAUUUUCCAGUUGUUUCAUGUGACAUUAGUAAAGAUUCCAGUCCUCACAUCCAUACUGGAGCGAUAUGAGGAUAACUGCAUUGUAGACUUUGAGUUUGGUGCUCAUUGAGAAGUCAUGGUGUUUCAGAGUUCUGUUGCAUAGUCAUACCAGAACUUGACAUGCUUUUUGGAAUCUGACUGAGAUUUCUUAGUCAAGGGAGGCAUUGUUAAAGAUUACAAAGUAUUGGAAGCUGUUUGCAGUCCUUAGCACAGUGCCAUCAAUGGUGAUUCUUGGCUGAGGGAUUUGGAGCAGGCUAGUACCUCCAUUUUAUCCAACCUGCGCUGGUGAGCCCAAACUGCUUUGAGAGAGAGAUAGGGAGAGGGAGGGAGAGAGAGAGAGAGAGAGAGAGAUAGAGAGAGAGAGAGAAUUAUAUUGAUUCCCAAGGGACAUUUUUGAGGUCUCUGAGAACUUGCUGAGCAUGGCAUGAAGGUCUUCAUUUUUGUGGGCCAUCACAGCAGAUCAUGGUCUGACUGACUGGUCACCACUGGAGAGCACCUGACCUGUCAUGCCAUCAUGGAAAAACCUGAUGAUGUGAAUGAACUUGUGGGGGCAGCCGUAUCUCACAGUCUCUAAUGAUUGUAUCACAGGCCUUGAUCAUGUCACUGAAAACAGAAUAGAAGAUUAAGUUCUGUUCUAGACACUUGGACUUGCUUCACUGUAAAGAUCAUGUCCACAGUACUGUGACCAGAGUGAAAUCAACUCUGGGCCUCUGGCAUGUUGGUUUCUGCUGUGUGGAUGAGUCUGUUUAAAAUAAUGCUUAAUCUUGCCUGCAAUGGAGAGCAGGAUCUCCCUGUUCUCCAUUGCAGGCAAGAUUAAGCAUUAUUAUUAUCCUUGUAAUUCUCACAGUCCACUUUGCUGCCUUUGUUCUUGUACAGCACUGCAAUCAGGGUAAGUCAGCAGGCAUCUUUUCCUGUUCCCAGAUGCACUGAAUUAUCUCAUUAUGCUUAAUGGCUUUAUAUAUUUCUGCUGGGAUGCUGUCCUUGCCAGGUGCUUUGUCCAAGUUCAACUGUUGUUUUUUUUUGCUUUUGUUUUUUCUUUGGUGAACUUGAUAAUCAUGUGUGGUUGCUUGAGUUCUUCCAUGACUGCCUGCUAGGAGAGUUGCUCCAAUACUGACUGGUUUACAGUGGAGGGUCUGUUGAGUAGCUGAGCGUUUUCUUAGGCCCUCUUGGUCGUUGAUCAAGGCUGAGCAAUCUGAUGACAGUAUGGGUGUAGGUCCUGCCCUUGCUGGUCUAUAAAUGGGCUUUAUUGCACUGAAGAAAAGCACUCACUGCAGAUCACCAUAGGAUUACCGUGGAUGGUACCACAUGGACACCCUACAGAUGGCUGUGGAUGUUCUUCCUUGGAUAGACUAAAGAGUUUUUAAAAACAGUUUACACUCAUGCCUCAUUUAUUGAACAGUUGAUAACUUUGAUAUGACAGUUGAGUUUGAUACAAUAGACUUAAAGUAAAAAAUUCUGCUCAUACUCAGGUUCCCUUUAACACACCUAGUACUGCUUAACUUUCUACUAUACAGUUAUAGAAAAAAAUAUUUCUGAUGUCACUAAGUGAAGGUGUUCUAAUCAAUUAAUUAAUUAAUUGAUUAGUCUAAUUCCACUGUUCACACAGUUACAGGCGCAUAUGUGUCUUUUUGAUUCGGGGUUCCUCGCUCCCUGGUAUUUCAGUUUCAGUUCCUGUUUCCAUUCAGGUACAUUGAGGCUUCACUCACAGUGUAAUGAGGUGAACAUCUCAAGGCUGAUAUGUUUAUAUAUAGUUUUAGUGUGGAGCAGGUGGUGCGUGCAUUGUGGAAAGUUGGCAGCAGAGAUCCCGUUCAGUGAUGGCAACAUUAGCCUGUGGCUGAAUGAUGGCUGGUAUAUUGAGCCGCGGUACCUGUGAGUAAUCAUACAACUUUGCGUCUGGUGUUUUUUCACCCAAUGGUAAGUGUGCCUUUCCCUUUUUCACAUUGGGAUUUGGUAGAUUUACUUUGACACUUUGUAUUAAGGUAAGAGUGUGGAGUUGAGCAUCUAAAUCUUCUCUAUGACAAAUCCCUAGCUGAAGACACUACAUGUGACUCUGCCACUGUUUUGCUUGACUGUUUUGCUUAUGGGCAUCUUGCUUGGCGGUUCUGCUUACAGGCAUUUUGCUGGGCCGGUUCCCUUGCGGGCAUUGCUUUCGCAAUGUUGCUUAGCGGCACCCUUGGGCUAUCUGUUUAGGUGCCUUGCCUCCGCUGUGAAGCAUAUCAGCUUUACUUUUUUGCUCGUAUAAGUUUGUUUGUUUUUCCCUGUUUGCACUUUGCGCUGUCUUCUUUUCUUUUGUCUGGUUAUUUUUCAUUGUUACAGUGUUGUUAUUUUGUAGUGUAGUGACUGUUAUUUUUCAUUGUUAAUUGUUACAGUGUUCAUUUUAUUUAUGGUUAACAAUAAUGCUGGUUCUGCUUAGGCACUGUUUAACUGCCUCCAUUGCAUGUGGUGGUGUCAUUGGGCCUGAGUACUUUAACUACCACUCCAUCGUGUCUGUAAUUUUUUAAAAAUUAUUUUGCUUAUUGUUUAGUGUUUUUGUGUUUUUCUGGGUUAAUUGGUGUUUUCUUUCUCUCCAGGAGCCAGUGAGGCUUAGUGUGGGACAGGGGAGGCUAGCUGCCUUCAUUUGGUGGUCUGUGCUUCAAAGCCUGCUCAGUGUGCCGACACAGCAACUUCCUUAUGGUGUAGCUACUGUUUGAUGAUUUUGGUGUGAAUUAAGAGAGCCUUGCUCCCCUCUCUGUCCUCGCGGAGAACCUUGCUCCCCUCUGUGGCCUCGCGGAAAUCUUGGAGCUUCCUUCAGGCCUCGCGGAGAACAUCGCUCCCCUCUCCUGUCCUGCUGAGGAAGUUGUCCCACUGUUCUGCCCCGCUGAGGACAUUGCUCUGAGCUCCAGCCCCGCUGAGGACGUCGCUCUGCUUACCUGUUCCGCUGAGGACAUCGCAUUGAUUUGUAUAAAGAAUUUGUAAAUAAAAAGCUAAAACAUUGAUUAGCUU